rnacentral:lncRNA from 1 species
GCUCUCCUCUCCUGCUAAGCUUUGUUUCCUGGCAGUAAUUAAAAUCUUCUGCCACUGCUAUAGCUACUGCUGCUGCUGGAACCGCCACAGCCACCUUGGUUUCAUGGUUUGGCAAAGUAUUGGCCUCCACCACCAUAUGGGCCAGAGCUUCUGCCUCCAAAAUUUCCUCCUUUCAUGGGUCCAAAAUUUGAAGAUUGAUUGUUGUAACUGCCAAAAUCAUCAUAGCUUCCACCACCUCCAAAGUUGCUUCCAUCAUUACCAAAUCCGUUAUAGCCAUCCCCACUGCCACCAUGUCCACCACAUCUCGACUGCCACCAAAGCCACUUCGCCCAAUUAAGUUUCCUCCAUGGCCAAAGUUGUCAUUCCCACCAAAACCACCACCAUGACCACCACCGAAGUUCCCAGGACCACUUCGACCUCUUUGGCUGGAGGAAGCACUAGCCAUCUCUUGCUUAGAUAAAGCUUUCCUUACCUCACAGUUGUGGCCAUUCACAGUACAGCAUUUUUGAAUGACAAUCUUACUUCACAGUUGUGGCCAUUCACAGUACAGCAUUUUUGAAUGACAAUCUUGUCUACAGAGUCAUGGUCAUCAAAUGUUACAAAACAAACAACCUUUCUUUUUGCCACUGCCUCGGUCAGUCAUGGUUUCAAUCACUUCAAUUUUCCCAUACUGUUCAAAAUAAUCUCUUAGAUGAUGUUCUUCAGUGUCUUCUUUAAUGCCACCGACAAAAAUCUUUUUCACAGUUAAGUGGGCACCAGGUCUUUGAAAAUCUUCUCUAGAGACAGUCCUCUUUGGUUCUACAACUCUUCCAUCCACCUUGUGUGGCCUUGCAUUCAUGGCUGCAUCCACCUCUUCCACAGUGGCAUAGGUGACAAACCCAAAGCCUCUGGAACGCUUGGUAUUUGGAUCUCUCAUUACCACACAGUCCAUAAGCGUUCCCCAUUGCUCAAAAUGGCUCCUCAGACUCUCAUCGGUUGUUUCAAAGCUCAAACCUCCAAUGAAAAGCUUCUGCAGCUGUUAGGGCUCUUUGGGAGACUCUGACUUAGACAUGACGGCGGGGGGAGGGGAGACUUUCACGAUGCUUACUUGGCGGCGUCCACGGGCAGAAAG